CUACGGGACGCUGCAGUGAGGAAUUUUGCGCAAUGGGGGAAACCCUGACGCAGCAACGCCGCGUGAGUGAUGAAGAUUUUCGGAUCGUAAAGCUCUGUCAAGCGGGAAAAAAUACUUUCGGUUAAUAGCCGGAAGGACUGAUGGUACCGCUGGAGGAAGCACCGGCUAACUCCGUGCCAGCAGCCGCGGUAAUACGGAGGGUGCAAGCGUUGUUCGGAUUUACUGGGCGUAAAGAGCGUGUAGGCGGUUUAGCAAGUCAGAUGUGAAAGCCCUGGGCUCAACCCAGGAAGUGCAUUUGAAACUGCUAUACUCGAGUAUGGGAGAGGAGAUUGGAAUUCCCAGUGUAGAGGUGAAAUUCGUAGAUAUUGGGAGGAACACCGGUGGCGAAGGCGACUCUCUGGACCAAUACUGACGCUGAGACGCGAAAGCGUGGGGAGCAAACAGGAUUAGAUACCCCAGUAGUC
rnacentral:rRNA from 1 species